CUGACUUAUAGAGACUAUGCAGGUGUCAGAGCUGCAUCACAUGUGUGUCUGUAGGUGGCAAAAAAGAAAGACACUAUGUUUGCUCAGUAUUUGUAAACAGUAUAUGUAAACAUCAGAACAAUUAGUUUUCAUU
ensembl:snoRNA